UACGUAGGGUGCAAGCGUUGUCCGGAAUUAUUGGGCGUAAAGAGCUCGUAGGCGGUCUGUCGCGUCGGCUGUGAAAACCUGGGGCUCAACUCCGGGCCUGCAGCCGAUACGGGCAGACUAGAAUUCGGUAGGGGAGACUGGAAUUCCUGGUGUAGCGGUGAAAUGCGCAGAUAUCAGGAGGAACACCAGUGGCGAAGGCGGUUCUCUGGGCAUUACCUGACGCUGAGGAGCGAAAGUGUGGGGAGCGAACAGG
rnacentral:rRNA from 1 species